rnacentral:rRNA from 1 species
AGUGAGCGCUGGCGGUAGGCCUAACACAUGCAAGUCGAACGGCAGCACAGUAAGAGCUUGCUCUUACGGGUGGCGAGUGGCGGACGGGUGAGGAAUACAUCGGAAUCUACUUUUUCGUGGGGGAUAACGUAGGGAAACUUACGCUAAUACCGCAUACGACCUACGGGUGAAAGCAGGGGAUCUUCGGACCUUGCGCGAUUGAAUGAGCCGAUGUCGGAUUAGCUAGUUGGCGGGGUAAAGGCCCACCAAGGCGACGAUCCGUAGCUGGUCUGAGAGGAUGAUCAGCCACACUGGAACUGAGACACGGUCCAGACCCCUACGGGAGGCAGCAGUGGGGAAUAUUGGACAAUGGGCGCAAGCCUGAUCCAGCCAUACCGCGUGGGUGAAGAAGGCCUUCGGGUUGUAAAGCCCUUUUGUUGGGAAAGAAAAGCAGCAGGUUAAUACCCCGCUGUUCUGACGGUACCCAAAGAAUAAGCACCGGCCAACUUCGUG